rnacentral:rRNA from 1 species
AACGAACGCUGGCGGCAUGCCUAACACAUGCAAGUCGAACGAGACCUUCGGGUCUAGUGUCGCACGGGUGCGUAACGCGUGGGAACCUGCCCUUAGGUUCGGAAUAACUCCCCGAAAGGGGUGCUAAUACCGGAUAAUGUCUUCGGACCAAAGAUUUAUCGCCUUUGGAUGGGCCCGCGUUGGAUUAGCUAGUUGGUAGGGUAAAAGCCUACCAAGGCGACGAUCCAUAGCUGGUCUGAGAGGAUGAUCAGCCACACUGGGACUGAGACACGGCCCAGACUCCUACGGGAGGCAGCAGUGGGGAAUAUUGGACAAUGGGCGAAAGCCUGAUCCAGCAAUGACGCGUGAGUGAUGAAGGCCUAAGGGUUGUAAAGCUCUUUUAACCGGGAUGAUAAUGACAGUACCGGGAGAAUAAGCUCCGGCUAACUCCGUG